rnacentral:rRNA from 1 species
GACGAACGCUGGCGGCGUGCCUAAUACAUGCAAGUCGAACGAGUGGCGGACUGGUGAUUAACACGUGGGAACCUACCCAUCAGAGGAGGAUAACACUUGGAAACAGGUGCUCAUACCGCAUACAGAUAGAUGGACCCGCGGUGCAUUAGCUAGUCGGUGAGGUAACGGCUCACCAAGGCGACGAUCCCUAACUGGUCUGAGAGGAUGACCAGCCACACUGGAACUGAGACACGGUCCAGACUCCUACGGGAGGCAGCAGUGGGGAAUAUUGCACAAUGGGCGCAAGCCUGAUCCAGCCAUGCCGCGUGUAUGAAGAAGGCCUUCGGGUUGUAAAGUACUUUCAGCGGGGAGGCGUUACCAGCAGAAGAAGCACCGGCUAACUCCGUGCCAGCAGCCGCGGUAAUUC